rnacentral:misc_RNA from 1 species
CCGAAAUUUAAAACUCACAACGCGAGUCUCGUGCGGAAGCAAAUAUGACUACCGAGACUUUGUGACUCUUCAAGUCUUCCUUUGCUCAAGUCAAACCACACUCGUGAAGCACAUGUGACGAGUCUGUGGUGAGCAUCGGGAGCACUGCGUUUCCUUCGGGAUUCACAGUCUAAAAAACGAAUUGUAAAAGUAUAUAUAUAUAAACAAAAAAAGACGAAAAAAU